rnacentral:rRNA from 1 species
UACGGAGGGUGCAAGCGUUAUUCGGAAUUACUGGGCGUAAAGGGCGCGUAGGCUGUCUGUUAAGUCCGAUGUGAAAGCCCUCGACUCAAUCGGGGAAGUGCAUUGGAUACUGGUAGACUGGAGUUCAGGAGAGGAGAACGGAAUUCCCGGUGUAGAGGUGAAAUUCGUAGAUAUCGGGAGGAACAACAGAAGCGAAGGCGGUUCUCUGGACUGAUACUGACGCUGAGGCGCGAAAGCGUGGGGAGCAAACAGG